rnacentral:tRNA from 1 species
GGGCGCAUAACUCAGCGGUAGAGUGCCACCUUCACACGGUGGAAGUCCAAGGUUCAAGUCCUUGUGCGCCCACCA